rnacentral:rRNA from 1 species
UACAGAGGUCCCAAGCGUUGUUCGGAUUCAUUGGGCGUAAAGGGUGCGUAGGUGGCGCUGUAAGUCGGGUGUGAAAUUUCGGAGCUUAACUCCGAAACUGCAUUCGAUACUGCGGUGCUCGAGGACUGGAGAGGAGACUGGAAUUCAUGGUGUAGCAGUGAAAUGCGUAGAGAUCAUGAGGAAGACCAGUGGCGAAGGCGGGUCUCUGGACAGUUACUGACACUGAGGCACGAAGGCCAGGGGAGCAAACGGG